rnacentral:lncRNA from 1 species
AUGAUUAUCAUCCAGUCUGUGCUGAUCUGCAGGCCAAAAUCCUCCAGUGUUACCGUGAGAACACCCACCAGACCCUCAGCUGCUCUGCUCUGGCUAACCAGUACAUGCACUGUGUUAAUCAUGCCAAACAGAGCAUGCUGGAGAAGGGAGGAUAAAAUCAACUUUAGAACAUGCAAAACAUUAAUCCAGAAGUGGAACACUUUUUUUCUGAGUAAGAAGAUAAUGCACUUAAAAAGAGAAGACCACUAAAGAGAAGCACCAGAGAAUGAAUUCAACAGAAUCAUAUCAUGUUUUGAUCAACAACAGUUUGAGAAGCCAAGGUCUAGAUCAGGAAUCAGUCAUCAAAGGACACUGUUCUGUUCCAGUAAACCCAAUUUAUGAAAAAAUAAAAGAGAAGGGCAGUGCUCUGCACCUUUUUGUACUUUCUAUUCCACUUCUACUGACCAUAUGAUGUGUCUUUUCACACCAGGCUCCACCUUUUGGUGGCUUCACCUCUAACAAAGCUGGGAGCAGGUGGGGAGGCUGAGCUAAUUGGAGUAGGGAGAGGAAGGAGCAGAAAAACACAGAGCCCCAGGAAAAAGUGCUGUAUGGAAUUGCCUAGGCUGUGUCUUACUCAUUUCCUCUUUCUUCCUUUUCUUUGACUAAGAGCUAUUUCAUUUUAACUUAUUAUGGUGGUCAUGCAAGUAAGACAAAAAGGAGAGAAAAUGUUCCUCUUUUACUGGAAUGAUGUUUAUGAUUACAAAUGAAAUAAGACAUUUUUAUAAAUAUAAAAGGAACCUUGAUUUAUGCAGCCUCUAACAUGAAUAUUGACAACUUUACUCACUAUCAAUAAUAAAUAUAUUUUCUGACAAAGACUGACUUGCAUUGUAGCUUGGGGCCCUGAACAUUCCUUUGGCUGGGGUAGGUGCGAAAGGGAAUUGAGCUGAUUUAUGGUGUUAGUAAUUUGCAUUUGUGCCAUAUCUUUCCUCUAAAAAGCGCUCCAGUACAUGUAGCAGAGCCUGAGACAGGCAAGUGGCACUUAGAGCGUGCCUCAGGUAGAUGGAGUUCAGUAAUGCUCACAAAUUGCAUGAAACUUCCUUUCUGUGGGAUGACUUAAGUCAUCCUGCCUGGGGCAAGAAGCAAAUUAGAUAACCUUGGGUAAGACCUUCUGACCCUGAGAUGCUAAAAAAAUGUUUUAAAAGUCGACACUUGAGGGGCUGGGGAUUUAGCUCAGUGGUUUCGCCACCUGCUGUGCAAGUGCAAGGACCAGAGUUCGAUCCCCAGUACAAAAAAAAAAAAAGCCAACGCUUGAGCUUCACUUCUUUCUAAUUUCAUUGAAGCAUCCUAACUGUAACUUUCCCUUUUUUUGCAAGGACUGAGAUUCAACCUUGGAUUUGAGUGAGGUGGAAGCUAAAUGGGAAUGAGAGUUCUUCCAAGAAAUAGAAGAAAAUCCCAGUGCUCUAUAGUGUCAUCUAAAUAUCUUUUGUUGUGCAGAAUUUUUAUUUCAUUUUUUAUUUUGUUACAGAGAGAUUUUAGCAAAAUGAUUAAGAGUAACACACUCUGGAAUAAAGUACGUCUGUGUUCAGACCCAGUCCUGCUGUGGGACCUACCAAGUCACCUUCCCUACUACACCUGUAUUUCUUAAGGAACUAAUAAAAGAACUUAGGCUUAUGGCGCAGAUUCAAAAUGUGUAGCAUACUUGGUCAGACUCAGGAAGUGUCAUGGAACUGACUUAAGAGUCAGGACAAACGUGAUGAGACAGUUUCACUCAACCCAUGUAAAUGGAGCUGGCCUCUUGAGUUUGAGUCCCUGGAUUGGCUCCAUCUGAAUGACAUCUUCAUGAACACAUAGCAGCACACCUGUGGCUUGAUGGUGAUUCUGAGUGACAUGGCAGACCCUCCUUCCAUAAUUACUGAGCUGCUCUGAAAUUAGUAUUUAAUGAAGUGUUUUGUUGUUGUUGUUGUUGUUGUUGUCUCAGUUUUAUUAGGUUUUCUUUUGUGGGUUUUUUUCUUAAUGGUGCAAAAUAUGCAGAGUUCAUUUAAGUGUGAAUGAAAAAAUCAUUGAUAACUCAAGCAGCACAAUUUGGCACUGUCAGGAUGGCAUCCAGGUAAGCUGCCUGAGAGAAAUAAUAGGUACACAAAAACAAAUGUUUACACGGUGACUUGUUAUAGUGUUUGCAAAUCUGCUAACUCACAAAUUCCCUCCUAUACUGUUUUGUUUUGUAGUUUAGAGCCAAGAACUUGGCAUAUCCCAGGCUGCCAGUCUUGUCGCUGGCAGAGAAAUGCAGUGCUACAGAAUCAGAAAUUUAAAGGUGAUUAAAUCCAUAGGAUUGGGUUGGUAUGUCAGGUCAUCUCUCUUGCAGCUAUUAAUUUAUCAUUUGGAUACACACAAUGAGUGCAAGGGGGAAAAACAGCACUUUGGGGGAAAUCAAAGGAUGAGAUGAUCCAUUUUUCUGUGCCUUUGCAAACCAGCCUAUUGAUGGCCUCACCAUCCUGUCCGGUCAAAAAGAGUGUUGUAAUUAUGAAGUUCAUGGAGUGAUAGGUUCCAAUCAAUUUCUCCAUGAAGUAAAACACACCUUGAACCACAGUAGUUUAGCUCAGGAAGCCAAGAAGAAUAAAGAAUCUUGAAAGCUGGUCAGACAUUAUCAUACUCAACAAUACCUGAAAACUUGUCAUCGUGGAAUUGUUUAAAGAAUUAUUGAGUAAUCCUCAUUAAUUAAUCCACCAAUACUUGUGGCCUGUUGGGCAACCAACAAGAUUCCUUCCCACAGUUUUAAGCAACACUGGUUUAGAACUGAAUAGCAGCCACAUGUCCUCAACUUCCCUGGCUCAACAGUUGAAAACGUGUGACUCUGCUUGAUAUUGUCCAGCCCACAGCAUUAGUCACCUUUGCCAAAAAGUUAUAUUUCCAUGAGCCACAAGAACUGAUUUUGAAGAUUUAAAACUACAAAGUUUCUCCUAUUUGGAGGAAUGAGUUCAAGACCUAUUGUGCAAUUAUGUUUGAUAGCAAUAUAUUAUAUUCUUGAAAAUUAAUAAAAAGCAGUUGAAUAUAAAGAGGGCAGCAGGNNNNNNNNNNNNNNNNNNNNNNNNNNNNNNNNNNNNNNNNNNNNNNNNNNNNNNNNNNNNNNNNNNNNNNNNNNNNNNAUAUAGUGUGAGUCAAGCCGAGUGAACUGGAACAUUGACACCUGUUUUGAGUUAAUAUUCCUAUGAAUGGCUGAUAUUUGGGAUGAACGAGUUAAUACUUAUUCAUAUGCCCUCGCUGCUCCCUUCCUUUCUUCCUCCCACAAGUUUUCUUCUAUAGCUGCUUCUUUUGUGUUCCUGCCAUCUUUCUCCCCUUCUCCAGGCUCUUCUGCAUGUUUAAACUUUUCUUACCACUCUCCCCUUCAGGCCUCCUGAGAGGUAGGUAGUGUAGGAGUUCAAAAGUACUUAUCCUGGUGGCCCAGUCCUUGGCUCUUAACUCUGGUACCGCUGCUGCACUUUGAGGCAAGACACUUCCCCUUAGGAUUCUCACAGUAAGAGGCUUGCUCUGGUCCUUUUCAUUAAAAUGUGAUAUUUGAUACUUCUUUCUGCUCCAGCCUCCUAACCCUUUAGUAUGUAUUUAGUAAAUUAGUAAUUGUGUUUGAAGUUCUUAAUGUAUAAAUCAGGUGAAUGGAACUUUUAAUUCUCUGAAAAGAAAAACUAUUUGUAUUUAAUUAUUUUGUAUUUUUCCCUGUGCCUUUU